rnacentral:rRNA from 1 species
CCUACGGGGGGCUGCAGUGGGGAAUAUUGGACAAUGGGCGAAAGCCUGAUCCAGCCAUGCCGCGUGUGUGAAGAAGGCCUUCGGGUUGUAAAGCACUUUCAGUGGGGAAGAAAGCCUUGGGGCUAAUACCCUCGAGGAAGGACAUCACCCACAGAAGAAGCACCGGCUAACUCCGUGCCAGCAGCCGCGGUAAUACGGAGGGUGCGAGCGUUAAUCGGAAUUACUGGGCGUAAAGCGCGCGUAGGCGGUCUGAUAAGCCGGUUGUGAAAGCCCCGGGCUCAACCUGGGAACGGCAUCCGGAACUGUCAGGCUAGAGUGCAGGAGAGGAAGGUAGAAUUCCCGGUGUAGCGGUGAAAUGCGUAGAGAUCGGGAGGAAUACCAGUGGCGAAGGCGGCCUUCUGGACUGACACUGACGCUGAGGUGCGAAAGCGUGGGUAGCAAACAGGAUUAGAUACCCUUGAGU